rnacentral:rRNA from 1 species
GGAAGGAUCAUUAACGAAAGCUCGAGCGAGGUUGUAGCUGGCCCCCCCUCUCCGGGGUGAACGUGCACGCCUCGUCUCCGUCUUCCAUCUCUCACCCCCCUGUGCACCUCUGCGUGGGCUCGUAGCGUCGCUUCGCUUCGGGCCCGCGUCACUUUUCACGACGAAAACCCCUUUGCAUGUAUCGGAACGUCUCGUUUUGCCGUCGAAGCAAAAACUCAUACAACUUUCAACAACGGAUCUCUUGGCUCUCGCAUCGAUGAAGAACGCAGCGAAAUGCGAUAAGUAAUGUGAAUUGCAGAAUUCAGUGAAUCAUCGAAUCUUUGAACGCACCUUGCGCCUCUUGGUAUUCCGAGGGGCACGCCUGUUUGAGUAUCGUGAAAUCCUCAACCCGACUCCUUUUGUGAAAGGGGGAGGAGGGCUUGGACUUUGGAGGUCUUGCCGGUCCCCGUAGGGAAAUCGGCUCCUCUCGAACGCAUCAGUGGAGCUCGUCCGCUUCUCUCUCUUGGCGUGAUAAUUCAUCUGCGCCGACGUGUGUGAGAAGGGAAAGCGCCGCUUCGAACCGUCUCGUCCGAGACAAGCUUUUUGAACCAUUCGAUCUCAAAUCAGGCGGGACUACCCGCUGAACUUAAGCAUAUCAAUAAGCGGGAGGAAAGAAACUAACGAGGAUUCCCCUAGUAACUGCGAGUGAAGCGGGAAAAGCUCAAAUUUGAAAUCUGGCGGUCUUUGGNCGUCCGAGUUGUAGUCUGGAGAGCGCUUUCCGCGCUGGAC